rnacentral:rRNA from 1 species
GGAUGAACGCUGGCGGCGUGCUUACCCCAUGCAAGUCGAACGAUGAAGCCCAGCUUGCUGGGUGGAUUAGUGGCGAACGGGUGAGUAACACGUGAGUAACCUGCCCUUAACUCUGGGAUAAGCCUGGGAAACUGGGUCUAAUACCGGAUAGGAGCGUCCACCGCAUGGUGGGUGUUGGAAAGAUUUAUCGGUUUUGGAUGGACUCGCGGCCUAUCAGCUUGUUGGUGAGGUAAUGGCUCACCAAGGCGACGACGGGUAGCCGGCCUGAGAGGGUGACCGGCCACACUGGGACUGAGACACGGCCCAGACUCCUACGGGAGGCAGCAGUGGGGAAUAUUGCACAAUGGGCGAAAGCCUGAUGCAGCGACGCCGCGUGAGGGAUGACGGCCUUCGGGUUGUAAACCUCUUUCAGUAGGGAAGAAGCGAAAGUGACGGUACCUGCAGAAGAAGCACCGGCUAACUACGUG